UACGAAGGGGGCUAGCGUUGCUCGGAAUCACUGGGCGUAAAGCGCACGUAGGCGACUUUUUAAGUCAGGGGUGAAAUCCUAGAGCUCAACUCCAGAACUGCCUUUGAUACUGAGAAGCUUGAGUCCGGGAGAGGUGAGUGGAACUGCGAGUGUAGAGGUGAAAUUCGUAGAUAUUCGCAAGAACACCAGUGGCGAAGGCGGCUCACUGGCCCGGUACUGACGCUGAGGUGCGAAAGCGUGGGGAGCAAAUAGG
rnacentral:rRNA from 1 species